AGUGAACGCUGGCGGUAGGCCUAACACAUGCAAGUCGAACGGCAGCACAGUAAGAGCUUGCUCUUACGGGUGGCGAGUGGCGGACGGGUGAGGAAUACAUCGGAAUCUACUUUUUCGUGGGGGAUAACGUAGGGAAACUUACGCUAAUACCGCAUACGACCUACGGGUGAAAGCAGGGGAUCUUCGGACCUUGCGCGAUUGAAUGAGCCGAUGUCGGAUUAGCUAGUUGGCGGGGUAAAGGCCCACCAAGGCGACGAUCCGUAGCUGGUCUGAGAGGAUGAUCAGCCACACUGUAACUGAGACAGGGUCCAGACUCCUACGGGAGGCAGCAGUGGGGAAUAUUGGACAAUGGGCGCAAGCCUGAUCCAGCAAUACCGCGUGGGGGAAGAAGGCCUUCGGGUUGUAAAGCCCUUUUGUUGGGAAAGAAAAGCAGCAGGUUAAUACCCCGCUGUUCUGACGGUACCCAAAGAAUAAGCACCGGCUAACUUCGUG
rnacentral:rRNA from 1 species